UUCCCCUAGUAGCGGCGAGCGAAGCGGGAAGAGCUCAAAUUUGUAAUCUGGCGUCCUUCGGGCGUCCGAGUUGUAAUCUAUAGAGACGUUUUCCGUGCCGGACCGUGUCCAAGUCCCUUGGAACAGGGUAUCAAAGAGGGUGACAAUCCCGUACUUGACACGACGACCGGUGCUCUGUGAUACGUUUUCUACGAGUCGAGUUGUUUGGGAAUGCAGCUCAAAAUGGGUGGUAAAUUCCAUCUAAAGCUAAAUAUAGGCGAGAGACCGAUAGCGAACAAGUACCGUGAGGGAAAGAUGAAAAGCACUUUGGAAAGAGAGUUAAACAGUAUGUGAAAUUGUUGAAAGGGAAACGAUUGAAGUCAGUCAUGUCCAUUGGAUUCAGCUGGUUCUGCCAGUGUAUUUCCUUUGGACGGGUCAGCAUCAGUUUGAGCCGACGGAUAAUGGCAGAGGGAAUGUAGCACCUCCGGGUGUGUUAUAGCCCUUUGUCGCAUACGUCGGCCCAGACUGAGGAAUGCAGCUCGCCUUUAUGGCCGGGGUUCGCCCACGUUCGAGCUUAGGAUGUUGGCAUAAUGGCUUUAAACGACCCGUCUUGAA
rnacentral:rRNA from 1 species